UUGAGAAACGCUGCUCUAGAACAAUGCACAGUUUUUCUUUACAACAAUGCAUCUUUUCCUCUAGAUAGUUUAGAAAACAAUACAUACUUUUCCUCUAAAACAAUGCAUAGUUUUUCCUUUAUAACAAUGCACGUUUGUCAUCUUGAAUGCAUUCCCUUCCUCUUAUUGCAAUAGAUUAAAAAUCAGAAAUGCAAACUCCUAAAAACGUUUAUGGGUUUUAGAAAUGGUUCAUUCAGAUUUAAACAUUCUAGAAUAUUUGAUUUAUCUAGAAUAAUGUUCUUUAACCGAUAAGUAAUGAGCUCACGACUUACGCCAGGUCUCAAAUAUUAAGUAAUUUUAAGUAAAACGUAUGGAAAACACUCAGCGGAAUUAAUUUUUAUCAAUUAAGACUUACUUUUAUUAACUGAUUUUAUUAACUUUUUUAAAUUGGCCAUUGAUUAAAUUAGUUUAAUUUUAACACAUAGGUAAGCAACAAGGAAACGUUACUGUUAAAUGGCUCCAUCUGUCGAAAGAUUCGAGAAACUUUUAGACAUUUUCUCCCAUUCAAGCAUGUUUAAAGUUGAAAAAUAAAUUUCUAAUUUUUAAAAAUUUUUAAAUCAAGUACACGAAUGACAAAAUAUGGAACUAAACAAUCAAAUGACUGAGAUAUUUUACGAGUAAUAAUCGCGUGGUUUUUUUUGCUGUACUUUACUGUAUUCAUCGCAUCCAGUAAAAUGACUCAUAUGAAAAUAUUACUUACAUUGGCAUCAGCUAGUGCCGCAAAAUUGGGUGUUAGAUAAAAUUUGAUUCCUUCGGCAGCUCCCGGAAGAGUGAUACCCCGAAAGAGAAGAAUGAAGAGAACAACAUAGGGAAAGAGUGCAGUGAACCACACUACCUUAAAAUAGAUGGAUAGAGCUUAUUAUUUAGAAUAACAAGCAUUAUUUUUAUUCGCACAUUAAUUGAUCUGAACGAGGUAUUUAAAUUAUAUAGGGCACGAUAAAAUUCAAAUGCUCAUUUCUAAUAUGUAAAACGAUAUAUUAUGUGUAGAAAAUUAGGAAAAGAAUCAAUCCAUCAUUUUCAGGAAGUGGCAAAUUAUCGGGAAGAGAAAAAAAGCAAUGAAUGGUAAAUAAAAUGAAAGAAGAGAAUUGGCUGUCUAGAAGAAAAAGUCACAUAAUUACAUAAAUCCGGAAGAUCAAGACAUGGAAACUCACUCUCCCUUACUUCCUUCUCUUCUGACCAAUUAAAACGCUUUAACGACAUGCGGACUUCCCUCUCCUCUGCUGAUGCCUCAGUUCUGAGCUUGAAUACUCUUUCUCCUAUUCACUCACACUCUAAAAACUUCUUCCAACUCGUCACGUGACCCUCGUCGAAUAUCUUCUCCUAUUUUCCUCUCUAUAUAUCCUCGUCCAGAUAAAAAAUAUUUGUAUCUUUUCCAGUAGAUUUUUUUAAAAGUUUUCUUUAAUUCAAAGCUUAUUUUAAAUAAUAUAUAUAUUUAUCUUAAUAUUUUGACAUUUCUG